UUAUACCCCGUUAUCAUUCCUUGUAGGAUAGCUAAACCUGCCAUAUACUGACAGCCGCACGAGAAGGAUCAAGUCUAGGUAAACCUCAGUCGUUAGAAGACAUCGCCGGAGGUGACUAUAUAGGCAACCAAGAGGUGGAUUACAGGCAAAGGUGAAUCAUAAAUUAAGGAGAAUUUCAUUUGUAGAAAGAGUUUCAUUAUUAAGAGAUAGUCGGGAUUGGAGUAGUUCUCGCCGUAGUACCGCCGGAGAGGGAAUCUGAGUUAGGUGAGUACGUAGGUGGUGGCCAGGUUCUCGAGGCGUGAGCGGUUUCCCCAUGGAUAUAGUUGAGGUUAUGGGUAGUGUAGGGUUGAUAUUAUAAAGACUCCCGCUUUGUAUAAAUUAUAAAGACUUAUUAAUUACGUCUCAAUAGAUUUAUGAAUACUUUUAUUUCAUUUUGGGAUUGUAUUAAAUGAUUUUUUUUGAGGAUUUGCAUAGAUAGUUUACGUUUUGGAUAAAUUGGUAAUUUCGCAGACCCCCCUCCAGGACGGGUUGUUACAAGGGACAUUAUUUUUUUCUUCAGCUUUUACUUUUACAUGUUUUUUUCCCUGUGAAUAUGCUUCUCAAAGAAAGAAAAAGAAAGCAAGCACAAGUGUUUUGUUCUUAUUGCUCACUUAGGGUUUAUUAGUGAUGGUUCUUGGAUAUCGAAGAAAUUAUGUCUUCUUUGCCUGGUAUGAUUUACUCUUCAUUCGUGUGGAUUCUAUGGGAUGAUUUAUCUUUUUGGUACCGUGUGUUUCUUGAACUGAUGAUACAAAUCAUUAUUUCAUGAUUUUUCGUAAUGAAGUUUUGGGAAACAUAUUUGCAAAAUUGGUGAACUCAUUUUACCUAAAGUAUGCUUAUAUAUUUCCUCUAUCCCUUUCUUCUUUUCCAAGUGAUGACCUUUAGAAAUAAACUUGAUAAAGUACUCAUUUUUAUUGUAAAGAUGCUCACUCAGUUUGAUCAGGUAAGCGUCUUCUUUGGAUUAAGUACUACUUGCUGCCAUUAAUGACUUUAAGUAUACUUUUUCGAUUACAAAUGUUGGACAACAACUUAAAACAAACACGAAUUGGCAGAAGGGAAGCAAUGAGAGUUUGGGAAUUUCAGUUUAGUUUCAUGUUUCUUGGUCACUAACACUUUCUAUUUAUUAAGAGAUCAAACAAUUCCAGAGUGUUUGAAAAUGUGUUGGCUACUUAGCUACACGUACGUAGUCCUCACUUGGACCUGUCAUGGCGUCAAGAAAUCAGGCAAUGAGACUUUCUGGUUAGUAUUCUAUAUGCAUGUGGAGUUUGAAAAUUCACGAUGUGGGUCGUGAUUCAUGAUUGAAGUAAUCGGUUUAGGGUUAUUGGUACUUAUUGUUAGGGUUUAUAUAAGUACCAAUAACACAUGUUGUUAUUGGUUUUGCUGAUUUUCAAUUUGUUAUGAGUCCUUCAUUUUUUAAUGGAUUUUUAUUUGGUAUACCAUAUUCAUAUAUGCUUUCAGGUUUUCAAAGUUGACAAUA